UACGUAGGGUGCAAGCGUUGUCCGGAUUUAUUGGGCGUAAAGAGCUCGUAGGCGGUCUGUCGCGUCGGAUGUGAAAACCCAGGGCUCAACCCUGGGCCUGCAUUCGAUACGGGCAGACUAGAGUGUGGCAGGGGAGACUGGAAUUCCUGGUGUAGCGGUGGAAUGCGCAGAUAUCAGGAGGAACACCGGUGGCGAAGGCGGGUCUCUGGGCAGUAACUGACGCUGAGGAGCGAAAGCGUGGGGAGCGAACAGG
rnacentral:rRNA from 1 species